CGCGGCGUAGAGCAGUGGUAGCUCGCUUGGCUCAUAACCAAGAGGUCGCUGGUUCGGAUCCAGUCGUCGCCA
rnacentral:tRNA from 1 species